AGUACAUCCUUGACAUAAGCAUGAAAGCUAGGUGGGCUUGGGGCUUGGGUUGACAUGCAAGGAGAAACAGUGAGGAGCCACCAACGGUGAUGGGCUCCAGUGCCCUGAGUGAUUUCCAUGUAGAAGGGAUGGUGGCCACGCUGGCGACAUGUAGAGACAUGGUGGGAUCACCCCCUA
rnacentral:sRNA from 1 species